rnacentral:tRNA from 1 species
GGAGGAGUAGCGAAGUGGUCAUAACGCGGUCGACUUGAAAUCGAUUUGGGGCGUGAAUAGCGUCCCGCGUGGGUUCGAAUCCCACCUCCUCCG